rnacentral:rRNA from 1 species
GGCUCAGGAUGAACGCUAGCGGCAGGCUUAAUACAUGCAAGUCGUGGGGCAGCAUGAGUAGCAAUACUUGAUGGCGACCGGCAAACGGGUGAGGAACACGUACACAACCUUCCUUCAAGCGGGGAAUAGCCCAGAGAAAUUUGGAUUAAUACCCAUAAUAUAUUUGAUAAGGCAUCUUAUUAAUAUUAAAGCUUCGGCACUUGAUGAUGGGUGUGCGGCUAAUUAGAUAGUUGGCGGGGUAACGGCCCACCAAGUCUACGAUCAGUAGCUGAUGUGAGAGCAUGAUCAGCCACACGGGCACUGAGACACGGGCCCGACUCCUACGGGAGGCAGCAGUAAGGAAUAUUGGACAAUGGACGAAAGUCUAAUCCAGCCAUGCCGCGUGAAGGAUUAAGGUCCUCUGGAUUGUAAACUUCUUUUAUAUGGGACGAAAAAAGGGCAUUCUUGCUCACUUGACGGUACCAUAUGAAUAAGCACCGGCUAACUCCGUG